UGAAUAGGCAAAGCCUGUCGUUUAUUCUUAACUCUGAAUUGGUAUAGCAGUGCUAGUCCUCACGAUCCACAAAGCCUACAAGAAAUCUAUAAUCUUAAUAGGUCUCCUGAAUCUAAUCUUAAGUCAUAGUGAAGUGCUUAAUAUUCUAUGAUUCAUUUAGCCGGUUUUCAAAAUUUAAUGAAUAAAUAAUUGAAAAUAUUUCUCUUGAGUUAAGAACACCAACAAUAUUCUUACUCAUCUUUCUUUAAUAAUUGAAAUUAUAAUAAAACCAAUUAAAUCAUAAAUAUUCUUAUUGCAAAAUAUAAUGCAAAUCAUGUCAUGCUUUACAUAUAAUAAGUAAUUACUUAAAAUAUGCACAUAAUAAUAAUAUAAUAUUAUUAUGAAAAUUAUCCUUUAAAUAAAUUAAUCAAACUAAUAAUAGUUCAAUUAAUUAAAAAUAAGAAAGCCCAAUUUAAUUAAUUGAAGGCAAAUUAAAAUCCUUAAAUAAAAUAAGGCCCAACAAAUUUAUUAAUUAAUAGCCCAACUGAAACAAAAAUAAAUAAAAUCUCGGCCCAAAUACUCAUAAAAAUCGGCCCAUGACUCGAGCCCACUCUAAUUAAAAUCGGCCCACAACUCGAGCCCACUCUAAUUAAAAUCGGCCCACUACCAAGCCCAUCACUCAAACCCAACCCCAAAGCCCAACCCUCACCAAGCCCUACCACCCCCACCCUCUUCUUCUCCCCCCAUAAAUCGCACAACACUCACACACACUUAGCAGCUGCGCAGCAGCACUCUUCUCUCCCUCUCUCGGCUCCCUCAAAUUUCCGCCGCCACGGCUCCUCCUCCGGCGACUGGCCGCCGCCCGCCGAAUCACCACAUCAUCUUCCUCUCUCCUUUACUUUGGUUCCACCAGACCCCCUUCUCCCUCAUCCUCACUUCACGCCAAACCCCCUUCUCCCUCAUCCUCACUCAUCAAACUGACUCGCCACCGUGGAGACUCGCCGGAGACGCAGCAGCGACGAGCCACCGCUACCAGCUUUCUCUCUGACAGUAGCCGAGCACAGCGGCACCUCCUUCCUCUCGAAUCCGGCGACCACAGGACAUCCAUGGCCGCCGCCUGAACUCCCUCCGCUGAACUCCGGCUGCCACGACCAGUAGCUGGUCGCCGCCCAUUCUCCUCUCCUCUGGUCAGACAACAACAGCCCCACGGUAACUGCUGCUGCUCUCGACCACCUCCAUCUAUCCUUGACAACGGCGAAGCGCCGCUGCCCCCUUCAAGUCCUCCGGCAGUCGCAGCGAGCGAGCUGCGAUACAUCUCUCUCCGCCCUUGGCCGAGCAGCAACGGCGAGUCACCGUCGUGCCCAGCCUCUCUCCAAAAUCUCGACUCACUCCCGACUCUCUUUCUCUAUGUGAGAACAGAGUACCACAGACAACCCUCAAUUUCCGGCAACCGCAACGAAGUCACGGCCGUGGCCCUUCCCGACUCGACACAGCAAGCAAAACUAAAGCUUAAUACUUUUCUUUCUUUCGUUUAUUAACUAGACUUGAAAACUAUUUAGUACUUGCUUAUGCACAUACAUGAAUGUAUAUAUAUAUAUAUAAAUAUAUGCAUAUAUCUGUGAGAUGAUGAAUAUGGAUUUGUUUCUCUGCUUUAGGCUCAAUUAGCACAGGAAGUAAACUAAUUGAGUUAGAAUUAUAACCUUUUGAUGAGGUUUCGGCUGGUGUUUGUUGUUGUAUUUGUUGUUGUUUACUAAGCUUCUGUGAAUGGAGUUCUGUGAAUGGAGUUGUACAAGAAUUUCAGAUGUUGCUUUAUUCAAAAAUUUGCAAGAGAGACAAGGAAAAAAAAAAAAUGAAAGAAUUUCAAAGUUCCAAACUUACAUGGGCAGUGGCGUUUUUUUUUUAGAGAGAGAGAGCUUGGAAGUUGCUGAAGGUUGUAAGAAUUAAAUUAUGAAAUUAUGAUUGCAGUUCUUACCUCUGCACUUGUUCCUUGGUAUGUAGGAGAAAUGGUGAGUGGAAGGGAAUGAGUAUUAUGGCUAAAGUUUAUUUUGGUGGGGGGCAAAGUAUGGUGUGAAGUGUGAGUGGGGAGAGUGGAAAGUGUGAGUGGGUAGUGAUGUUAACGUUGGUGGUGGAAGUAAUGAAUUGGUGAGUAGUGUAGCACCAUUGAUGAGUAGUGGAUUGAGGAUGAGAUAUGGGAGGAUUUUAUUAGUCUGCAUAAAUACAUGUAUGCUAAAAAUAAUCAUGAUAUAGGGUGGCUAUUAGGAACAUAAAUAAUAUAUCGGGACUGUAAUAAUACUUCAGGGUUCGAAAAAAAUAGCUCGUGAAAGAUUGCUAA
rnacentral:lncRNA from 1 species